ensembl:snoRNA
GGCCUCCUGAUGCUCUCCACAGGCUGAAUUCUUACACGGGCUAUAUAGAAAGAGGAGGUGGAGUAAGUCUACACCACAUACACCUCAGCCCAGGUUCUGUUCCUGGUCUGUACUAUGAAUGGGGAAACAUAG